UUCUGUUAAGGGCACAGGGAGACAAGUUGGGUGGCAAUUUUACAUGUCCCACCAGUGCUUCUCUACAGCUCUUCCAAUUCCUGUGGAGACAGACAAGUAUGCAUCUCUGUCACUGCUGUGAAAGAGGAGAUUCUUCUGCUCACCCAGGACAGAUCUUAGUACUAAUUGCUAAAAUGGUAUGACUGAGGUGGAUCAUCAGAUUGGCAAGGAUGUCUCCCUACCUGGAGGAUAAUUAGCAACAAUCAGGGCACUCACUAUUCAGAAAAAGAAUCCUCUACCUCUCACAAGAACCAUGGAGAAUGUUUCCCAACAAUAUGGAACGAUUUGUGAAAUGAUGACAU